UUCGGACUCCAGGACCCCUUCGCGCUCAGGCGCUCCGACCGCGACCCCCAGGUUCAGGCGG
rnacentral:rRNA from 1 species